GGGGCCGUGCUCAACGGGGAGAGUUCUUGCUUUUCAAGCAGGAUGUCGUCGGUUCGAUCCCGUCCGGCUCCACCACUCGCGCAAUCCCGAAGGGAUUGUCGCGGUUCGCGACGAUCCUGCGGAUCGCGCGGAGGUGUUGAGUAGAGAUGUGGUGAAAAAAGUCAUUCGUAUAAAGGUUUGUGGUGAGCUUCUUGGCUCUCCGCUUGUUCUGUUUGACAUCGUAAAGAGAAGAUUUGUUCGAACUUCAUGGGCCGCAAGGUCUCAUGAUUUGUCGCAAGGGACGCUCAAUCCCUUGCAUAUGAUGGGUUUGCCUAACCGCGCCCUCGAACCGAUCUCGAGAAGCUGGUCUUUUUGUGCCAAUGACAUCGAAUUGGAUCCCGCACAGGAUCCGGUUCAGGCGACAAUUCCUUCGGAAUUGCGCGGACGCUAACCCCGUAAGGGCGAGGCUGAAGCGACAAUCCCUUCGGGAUUGCGCGGGUGGGCAUUGGCAAUGAGAACGAUCAAGUGUCUUAAGGGCAAUUGGUGGAUGCCUUGGCAUGCACAGGCGAUGAAGGACGUGAUACGCUGCGAUAAGCUACGGGGAGGUGCGAAAACCCUUUUUACCU
rnacentral:misc_RNA from 1 species